UAAGGGAGACCUCCCGCUAAGGCUAAAAUCGAAAGAGAGUAAGAAUUAGACGGUCAACCUAAGGUCGGUCGAGGCAUCUAGAAAGUGGCUUUCAAACUAUCUAGGGAAAGGAAAUGGGCUAUUAGCUCGGGUGGUUAGAGCGCACCCCUGAUAAGGGUGAGGUCCCUGGUUCGAGUCCAGGAUGGCCCACCAUUCUUAUUAAAAGGGGGUUUAGCUCAGUUGGUAGAGCGCCUGCUUUGCAAGCAGGAUGUCAACGGUUCGAGUCCGCUAACCUCCAUAGGGCGAAAGCUCUAGUUUGAGGAGUAUAUUCAGCACCUCAUCUCGGUUUUUUAGCUAGCCUUUUGCAUAGCUAAAGGGUUUGACUGAGACUGCUGGAUGAACUCCAGUGAGAACCUUGAAAACUGCAUAGUAACUUGUCAGGUAGAAAGCUAGGGGGCAGGUGAUAGAAGCAGGCGAUAGGGUUUCCCUACUGCCUAACUCUUACACCCUACAACCUAGUUAUCACAGACACCAAUGUGCAACUUGAGAAAGUUGAUUUAAGU
rnacentral:tRNA from 1 species